rnacentral:rRNA from 1 species
AGUGAACGCUGGCGGUAGGCCUAACACAUGCAAGUCGAACGGCAGCACAGUAAGAGCUUGCUCUUACGGGUGGCGAGUGGCGGACGGGUGAGGAAUACAUCGGAAUCUACUUUUUCGUGGGGGAUAACGUAGGGAAACUUACGCUAAUACCGCAUACGACCUACGGGUGAAAGCAGGGGAUCUUCGGACCUUGCGCGAUUGAAUGAGCCGAUGUCGGAUUAGCUAGUUGGCGGGGUAAAGGCCCACCAAGGCGACGAUCCGUAGCUGGUCUGAGAGGAUGAUCAGCCACACUGGAACCGAGACACGGUCCAGACUCCUACGGGAGGCAGCAGUGGGGAAUAUUGGACAGUGGGCGCAAGCCUGAUCCAGCCAUACCGCGUGGGUGAAGAAGGCCUUCGGGUUGUAAAGCCCUUUUGUUGGGAAAGAAAAGCAGCAGGUUAAGACCCCGCUGUUCUGACGGUACCCAAAGAAUAAGCACCGGCUAACUUCGU